GGGAAGGAGCAUGGGCCUCAUCAAAGAAACAUUGGAAUGGGAAAGCCAGAGGAAAUGCACUCACUGAAUGCUUGGUGCCAAGGCCAGCCCAAGAUAUUGGGCUGGCUGAGACAGAGUAGCAAAUGGCACUCCCUAUCACACCAACCAAGCAAAGACUGAUAUCGAAAUGGGAUGGCACAGAAAAAUGAUGUUUGGAACAAAUACCAUCACCAGAAAAUGCCAUUUGGAGAAAGAAAGGAAGAAAAUUAUUGAAGAAUUAAACCCCACGAGGAAGGCAUGCAUCACUCUUCAUGUUGUCGGAUUGCAACUCCCAUCCAUCCUUGCUGGCAUAAUACAUAAACAAGUAUAUAGCGAAUGAGACAUUUUGCAUGGAUGUUCGGCUUGUUUUUCUUGGUUCAUUUACCACUUUUCCUUGGAUUGGUUUCCCAGUUUGUUCCCUGGCAGAUGACUUUUUCUGCACACCUCACAGAAUCAAGUGAGAAAAAUAAAGACUUCCAGAUCCCAUCUUCUGAUAUUGAACUUUUAAAUAGAAUAAACUCAC